rnacentral:rRNA from 1 species
CCGCUCAGGGGUAAACGGAAAAGACCCGAAACACCGAAAAGGGAGACUCACGUCUUGUCGCGGGCUCCGGCCUUUGGCAGGGGGAUGGCCUCACGCCCCGCUCGGCUCGUCCGUGGCGGUGGGUAGGCUGCCCUCUUCCGGGUGUCCGGGCCCGCGGGAGACCGCACUUCUCCCCCAGUAGGACGUCGCGACCCGCUCUGCGGCGGUCUAACGGCCGGUAGAAAGCCUGGCCGGGGCGGUCCCCUCGCGGGUCCGUUCCCGGCCAGAUCUCCGGUUCGCGACCGCCGGACAGGGGCGGUAUGAACGAUCUCGGCGAUGGGCCGCUCCGACAGAGAGCGCCCGGUCCCCCCGCAAGCCCGGGUCGGGAGUCUGGCCGUACUCCCUCGCGGGUACGCCAGGCUUCCGCUCGAACUGUUGGCGGGCGGGUACUCGGGCAGCAGUCCAUUCCGCCAGUCGGCGGCGCUUCAGAUUCGGGAACUUAUCCGACCCGUCUUGAAACACGGACCAAGGAGUCUAGCGUGUGCGCGAGUCAUUGGGUGACAAAACCUAAAGGCGCAAUGAAAGUGUCUCUUUUGGGAGGAUGGGCGUCCCGGCCCCCCAGGCCGGUGCCCCGCACUCCCGGGGCGUCACGAUCUCGUUUCGAGCCGAGACGCACCGAGAGCGCACACGCUGUUACCCGAAAGAUGGUGAACUAUGCUUGGCCAGGACGAAGCCAGGGGAAACCCUGGUGGAGGUCCGAAGCGAUUCUGACGUGCAAAUCGAUCGUCUGAGCUGAGUAUAGGGGCGAAAGACUAAUCGAACCAUCUAGUAGCUGGUUCCCUCUGAAGUUUCCCUCAGGAUAGCUGGCUCUCAGGAAGAGACGAGUCUCAUCCGGUAGAGCGAAUGAUUAGAGGUGAUGGGGUCGAAACGACUUCAACCUAUUCUCAAACUCCCAAUAGAUGAGAGCCCCGGCUUGCUUGAAAGUGAAGCCGCGGGACUACGGAUCGGAGAUGCCAAGUGGGCCAAUUUUGGUAAGCAGAACUGGUGCUGUGGGAUGAACCAAACGCGGAGUUAAGGCGCCUGAUUCGACGCUCAUCCGAAACCAUGAAAGGCGUUGGUUGCUCAAGACAGCAGGACGGUUGCCCUGGAAGUCGGAAUCCGCUAAGGAGUGUGUAACAACUCACCUGCCGAAGCAACUAGCCCUGAAAAUGGAUGGCGCUGUAGCGUCGUGCCUAUACUCCGCCGUCAACGGCAAAGCGGGCGGCCCGCAAGGGCGUCGCCGUUAAGCCAUGACGAGUAAGAGGGUCGCGGCGGUGUGCGCGGAAGGGUCUGGGCGUGAGCCCGCCUGGAGCCGCCGCCGGUGCAGAUCUUGGUGGUAGUAGCAAAUACUCCAGCGAGGCCCUGGAGGACUGAUGUGGAGAAGGGUUUCUUGUGAACAGCUGUUGCACAAGAGUCAGUCGAUCCUAAGCCCUAGGGGAAACCCGAAGCGAUGGCAUGCCGUUAACUCUCUAUGUGAACGCAGGGCGGCUUGCGGCGGCGGGCUAGAGCCCACCGUCCGCAAGCCGCCGUUGCUUCUUAAUAUGAGCCGGCACCGUCUGGGCGAAAGGGAAUCUGGUUCCUAUUCCAGAACCCGGCAGCGGAACCGUACCAAUUCGGGCCCUCAUCCGAGGACUCGUCGGGGCAACCCAAAAUGACCCGGAGAAGCCGUAGGGAGGUCCGGGGAGAGUUGUCUCUUCUCUAUAAGCGUUCGAGUUCCCUGGAAUCCUCUAGGAGGGAGAUAGGGUUUGGAACGCGAAGAGCACCGCACUUACGGCGGUGUCCGGAUCUUCCCCUCGGACCUUGAAAAUCCGGGCGAGGGCCACGAGGAACGCCGCGCCGGCUCGUACCCAUAUCCGCAGCAGGUCUCCAAGGUGAAUAGCCUCUAGUCAAUAGAAUAAUGUGGGUAAGGGAAGUCGGCAAACCCGAUCUGUAACUUCGGGAUAAGGAUUGGCUCUGAGGAUCGUGGCGCGCCGGGCUUGGUCGGGAAGUGGAGCGGUGCCAACGUGCCGGGCCUGGGCGAGGAUAAGGGCGGCCUCGCGUCGCCUGGACCCUAGCUCGGUCCCGUGCCUUGGCCAACCCACGGAUCUUCCUUGCUGCGAGCCUCCGGGUGUCUAGUCGCCUGUUACCAGCAGGUGGACGGCCCGGAUGGCUCUUCGGCCGCCAUAGAACGAUCGACUUAGAACUGGCACGGACUAGGGGAAUCCGACUGUCUAAUUAAAACAAAGCAUUGCGAUGGCCCCAAGGGGUGAUGACGCAAUGUGAUUUCUGCCCAGUGCUCUGAAUGUCAACGUGAAGAAAUUCAAGCAAGCGCGGGUAAACGGCGGGAGUAACUAUGACUCUCUUAAGGUAGCCAAAUGCCUCGUCAUCUAAUUAGUGACGCGCAUGAAUGGAUUAACGAGAUUCCCUCUGUCCCUACCUACUAUCUAGCGAAACCACUGCCAAGGGAACGGGCUUGGAAAAAUCAGCGGGGAAAGAAGACCCUUUUGAGCUUGACUCUAGUCUGGUACUGUAAGGAGACAUGAGAGGUGUAGCAUAAGUGGGAGGCGGCGAACGUCGUCCGACAGUGAAAUACCACUACUUUCAUAGUUUCCUUACUUACUUGGUGAGGCGGAGGGCGUCCGUCGGUGUGUCUGCACUCCGGCGUGACGGUAUUCUCGCGCCAAGCGCCAAGGGUUGUCGGCGGCUUGACCGGACGCGGUGAGGCCCGCCGGCCGGUCCGCUUUCGGGCGGUGCCGACGGUCGGUGUCGUCGCCGCGGCUUAGGUCGCUCCGUUCCGGCAACAAGUUCCCUAGCGUGAUCCGAUCCAAGGACACUACCAGGCCGGGAGUUCGUCUGGGGCGGAACAUCUGUCAAAUAAUAACGCAGGUGUCCUAUGGUCAGCUCAGCGAGGACAGAAACCUCGCGUAGAGCAAAAGGGCAAAUGCUGGCUUGAUCCCGAUGCUCAGUGCGCAUAGGGACUGCGAAAGCACGGCCCAUCGAUCCUUUUGGCUUGAAGAGUUUUCAGCAAGAGGUGUCAGAAAAGUUACCAGAGGGAUAACUGGCUUGUGGCGGCCAAGCGUUCAUAGCGACGUCGUCGUUUGAUCCUUCGAUGUCGGCUCUUCCUACCAUUGCGAAGCAGAAUUCGCCAAGCGUCGGAUUGUUCACCCGCUAAUAGGGAACGUGAGCUGGGUUUAGACCGUCGUGAGACAGGUUAGUUUUACCCUACUGAUGAGUCGCCUUGCUAUAGUAAUCCUGCUUAGUACGAGAGGAACCGCAGGUUCGGACAAUUGGUACACGCACUCGGUUGACCCGCCGCUGGUGCGACGCUACCAUCCGAGGGAUUAGGCCUGAACGCCUCUAAGACCGAAUCCCGACUAAUAGCAACGAUAUAACUACGGGACCCGUGAGUCGGAAGGCUCAAUGCAAUGUGCCUCUACUAGGCGGCCGGUUACGCGCCGGCCGUCGCUCGGGCCUGCUGGCCGGGGCGCCCUCGUGCGGGAUGCCGUCGGUACAUUCCGAUCGGUACCCCCGGUGCUCCGGCGUAUCAUGGUUCGUCCCCCUUCACGGGGGGAGUCCGAUGUCGGGACCCUGGAUCGUCUGUAGACGACUUCUCCAACGGGCAGGGUGCUGUACUCGGGAGA